GGGAGAGGGGUCCAGGUUAUAUGGGAGAGGAGUCCAGGAUAUAUGGGAGAGGAGUCCAGGUUAUAGAGGGGUCCAGGUUAUAUGGGAGAGGAGUCCAGGAUAUAGAGGGGUCCAGGUUAUAGAGGGGUCCAGGUUAUAGAGGGGUCCAGGUUAUAGAGGGGUCCAGGUUAUAGAGGGGUCCAGGUUAUAUGGGAGAGGGGUCCAGGAUAUAUGGGAGAGGAGUCCAGGUUAUAUGGGAGAGGGGUCCAGGUUAUAUGGGAGAGGAGUCCAGGAUAUAUGGGAGAGGAGUCCAGGAUAUAUGGGAGAGGAGUCCAGGUUAUAGAGGGGUCCAGGUUAUAUGGGAGAGGAGUCCAGGAUAUAUGGGAGAGGAGUCCAGGAUAUAUGGGAGAGGAGUCCAGGAUAUAUGGGAGAGGAGUCCAGGAUAUAUGGGAGAGGAGUCCAGGUUAUAUGGGAGAGGGGUCCAGGUUAUAGAGGGGUCCAGGUUAUAUGGGAGAGGAGUCCAGGAUAUAUGGGAGAGGGGUCCAGGAUAUAUGGGAGAGGGGUCCAGGUUAUAUGGGAGAGGAGUCCAGGAUAUAUGGGAGAGGAGUCCAGGAUAUAUGGGAGAGGAGUCCAGGAUAUAUGGGAGAGGGGUCCAGGAUAUAUGGGAGAGGAGUCCAGGUUAUAGAGGGGUCCAGGUUAUAGAGGGGUCCAGGUUAUAUGGGAGAGGAGUCCAGGAUAUAUGGGAGAGGGGUCCAGGAUAUAUGGGAGAGGAGUCCAGGAUAUAUGGGAGAGGAGUCCAGGUUAUAGAGGGGUCCAGGUUAUAUGGGAGAGGAGUCCAGGUUAUAGAGGGGUCCAGGUUAUAGAGGGGUCCAGGUUAUAUGGGAGAGGAGUCCAGGAUAUAUGGGAGAGGGGUCCAGGAUAUAUGGGAGAGGGGUCCAGGUUAUAUGGGAGAGGAGUCCAGGAUAUAUGGGAGAGGAGUCCAGGUUAUAGAGGGGUCCAGGUUAUAUGGGUCCAGGUUAUAGAGGGGUCCAGGUUAUAUGGGUCCAUCUCUGUUAUAGAGUCAAUGGAUGAUUGUGUGUUCUUGACAAUGUCUUCCUCACCUGAAAAUAGUUGUCUGUUUUUGUCCAACUUCAAGUCAAUUGAUUAAUGCAGAUAUACGAUUUCAUGUGGCGCCUAGGAAUUAUCUACACAGACCUUCCCCAUGAUACCUUACCCACGCCCUACUGUUAUAGAGACACCUUACCCACGCCCUACUGUUAUAGACACCUUACCCACGCCCUACUGUUAUAGACACCUUACCCACGGCCUACUGUUAUAGAGACACCUUACCCACGCCCUACUGUUAGACACCUUACCCACACCCUACUGUUAUAGAGAUACCUUACCCACGCCCUACUGUUAUAGAGACACCUUACCCACGCCCUACUGUUAUAGAGA